GCCCGCCUCUCGUGACCCUCCGCAGCACCGGCUGGAGCUCCGCAGCGCAUUGGCAUGGGAGCGGCUGCAGAAGAAAGAAGAAGCAGUGAGUGGGACUCCGGGAGGCAACAGCGAGCAAGAGGAGGAAGGGGAAGCCUGUGCAUGGGGGCGAAAGAGAGAGGCUCUCUGGGCAAAAGCACCUCCCUGUCAGCAGGGGCACAGUCACAUUUCGGUAGAGCGCUGCCGGCACCUUGGGUGACCAGGCCGGCUUUGUGCUGGGCGACCUCCCUGUAAGCAGGGCUCGGGUCUUUGCUGUAGUUGGCCUUUUGCCUUGUUGCUCCUUUGGCUGCCUGGGGAGCGUGGCCCCCCGUACAGAGGGCAAGAGCCACCUCCCCGCACCCGAGUGGGAAAUGGAGCUCGCUGGACCCCAA